CAGGCCUAACACAUGCAAGUCGAACGGUAACAGGAAGAAGCUUGCUUCUUUGCUGACGAGUGGCGGACGGGUGAGUAAUGUCUGGGAAACUGCCUGAUGGAGGGGGAUAACUACUGGAAACGGUAGCUAAUACCGCAUAACGUCGCAAGACCAAAGAGGGGGACCUUCGGGCCUCUUGCCAUCGGAUGUGCCCAGAUGGGAUUAGCUUGUUGGUGGGGUAACGGCUCACCAAGGCGACGAUCCCUAGCUGGUCUGAGAGGAUGACCAGCCACACUGGAACUGAGACACGGUCCAGACUCCUACGGGAGGCAGCAGUGGGGAAUAUUGCACAAUGGGCGCAAGCCUGAUGCAGCCAUGCCGCGUGUAUGAAGAAGGCCUUCGGGUUGUAAAGUACUUUCAGCGGGGAGGAAGGGAGUAAAGUUAAUACCUUUGCUCAUUGACGUUACCCGCAGAAGAAGCACCGGCUAACUCCGUGCCAGCAGCCGCGGUAAUACGGAGGGUGCAAGCGUUAAUCGGAAUUACUGGGCGUAAAGCGCACGCAGGCGGUUUGUUAAGUCAGAUGUGAAAUCCCCGGGCUCAACCUGGGAACUGCAUCUGAUACUGGCAAGCUUGAGUCUCGUAGAGGGGGGUAGAAUUCCAGGUGUAGCGGUGAAAUGCGUAGAGAUCUGGAGGAAUACCGGUGGCGAAGGCGGCCCCCUGGACGAAGACUGACGCUCAGGUGCGAAAGCGUGGGGAGCAAACAGGAUUAGAUACCCUGGUAGUCCACGCCGUAAACGAUGUCGACUUGGAGGUUGUGCCCUUGAGGCGUGGCUUCCGGAGCUAACGCGUUAAGUCGACCGCCUGGGGAGUACGGCCGCAAGGUUAAAACUCAAAUGAAUUGACGGGGGCCCGCACAAGCGGUGGAGCAUGUGGUUUAAUUCGAUGCAACGCGAAGAACCUUACCUGGUCUUGACAUCCACGGAAGUUUUCAGAGAUGAGAAUGUGCCUUCGGGAACCGUGAGACAGGUGCUGCAUGGCUGUCGUCAGCUCGUGUUGUGAAAUGUUGGGUUAAGUCCCGCAACGAGCGCAACCCUUAUCCUUUGUUGCCAGCGGUCCGGCCGGGAACUCAAAGGAGACUGCCAGUGAUAAACUGGAGGAAGGUGGGGAUGACGUCAAGUCAUCAUGGCCCUUACGACCAGGGCUACACACGUGCUACAAUGGCGCAUACAAAGAGAAGCGACCUCGCGAGAGCAAGCGGACCUCAUAAAGUGCGUCGUAGUCCGGAUUGGAGUCUGCAACUCGACUCCAUGAAGUCGGAAUCGCUAGUAAUCGUGGAUCAGAAUGCCACGGUGAAUACGUUCCCGGGCCUUGUACACACCGCCCGUCACACCAUGGGAGUGGGUUGCAAAAGAAGUAGGUAGCUUAACCUUCGGGAGGGCGCUUACCACUUUGUGAUUCAUGACUGGGGUGAAGUCGUAACAAGGUAACCGUAGGGGAACCUGCGGUUGGAUCAC
rnacentral:rRNA from 1 species